rnacentral:rRNA from 1 species
AAUUUUGCACAAUGGGGGAAACCCUGAUCCAGCAAUGCCGCGUGCAGGAUGAAGGCCUUCGGGUUGUCACCUGCUUUUGUACGGAACGAAAAGUCUUGGGGUAAUUCCCUGGGAUCAUGUCGGUACCGUAAGAACAAGCACCGGCUAAUUAUGUUCCAUCAGCCGCGGUAAUACGUAGGGUGCAAGCGUUAAUCGGAAUUACUGGGCGUAAAGCGUGCGCAGGCGGUGUUGUAAGACAGUGGUGAAAUCCCCGGGCUCAACCUGGGAACUGCCAUUGUGACUGCAAGGCUGGAGUGCGGCAGAGGGAGAUGGAAUUCCGCGUGUAGCAGUGAAAUGCGUGGAUAUGCGGAGGAACACCGAUGGCGAAGGCAAUCCCCUGGGCCUGCACUGACGCUCAUGCACGAAAGCGUGGGGAGCAAACAGG